rnacentral:lncRNA from 1 species
AGCAGUGGCACCUGGACCCUCUCUGUGUGCCAUCUGACCAGCCUUGGCUUGUCUGUGCCCUGGAGGGUGCUGCUUGCAGCCUGGUGACUGAGGACAAGCUUUGGUUCAGGUAACCCAGCAGAUGUCCCUGCCACUCCACAGUGAAAGUCGGGCUUGGGCUUGUGAAGCUCUCUUCUGCACUCUCCUGGAAAAGCAAGGCUGCCAUAUUUUCUCCUGGGCCCCAGCCAUCUGGCCCACUCACCAUGCAUUGUUUUCUUGGAUCAGGAGAUCGGGGCAACCACCAUUCUCCCUGAGGGGAAGCAGAUUUCUAUUUGCAAGCUUCAAGUACCAUUCUCUUCUCCAUCUGAUCUGA